AGUGAACGCUGGCGGUAGGCCUAACACAUGCCAGUCGAACGGCAGCACAGUAAGAGCUUGCUCUUACGGGUGGCGAGUGGCGGACGGGUGAGGAAUACAUCGGAAUCUACUUUUUCGUGGGGGAUAACGUAGGGAAACUUACGCUGAUACCGCAUACGACCUACGGGUGAAAGCAGGGGAUCUUCGGACCUUGCGCGAUUGAAUGAGCCGAUGUCGGAUUAGCUAGUUGGCGGGGUAAAGGCCCACCAAGGCGACGAUCCGUAGCUGGUCUGAGAGGAUGAUCAGCCACACUGGAACCGAGACACGGUCCAGACUCCUACGGGAGGCAGCAGUGGGGAAUAUUGGACAAUGGGCGCAAGCCUGAUCCAGCCAUACCGCGUGGGUGAAGAAGGCCUUCGGGUUGUAAAGCCCUUUUGUUGGGAAAGAAAAGCAGCAGGUUAAUACCCCGCUGUUCUGACGGUACCCAAAGAAUAAGCACCGGCUAACUUCGUG
rnacentral:rRNA from 1 species